UGGCAAACGGGUGAUGAGCGCGUAUCUGACUGGACUCAAGCUGGGGGAUAGUCCCUCGAAAGGGGGUUGAAUACCGAAUGUGCUCGGUGCUGUGAGGGCAUCGAGGAAAGUUGGCCUCUGCGGGCACGCUGAUGGCCUGACACAGGGAUGCGUCCUAUUAGCUAGCUGGUGGGGUAAAGGCCUACCGGGUGUAAGAUGGGUCGCUGGUCUGAGAGGAUGAUCACCCACACUGGGACUGAGACACGGCCCAGACUCCUACGGGAGGCAGCAGUGGGGAAUUUUGCGCAAUGGGGGGAACCCUGACGCAGCAACGCCUUGUGAGUGACAACCCCUUUCGCGGUGUAAAGCUCUGUGAGGCCGGACGAAAGCUCCGGGUGAAAAACCUGCGAGGGUGACGGUACCGCCACAUCAAACCCCGGCUAACUCCGUGCCUACAGCCGCGGUAAGAUCGACGGGGCGAGCGUUGUUCGGAAUUACUGGGCGUAAAGCGCCCGCAGGCGAUGACGUGAGUGUUUCGUGAAAGCCCCCGUGUCAACCGGGGACGGACGAAGCAGACUGCGUGACUUGAGUGCUGGAGGGGGAGGCGGAAUUCCUGGUGGAGCGGUGAAAUGCGUAGAGAUCUGAGAAGAACGUCCGUGGCGAAGGCGGCCUCCUGGACAGACACUGACUCUGAGGGGCGAGAGCGUGCGGAGCGAACGGGAUUAGAUACCCCGGUACUCCACGCCGUAAACGCUAGGCAUUAGGUAUGGAUGUGGAGAUCACUUCCAUACCGGAGCUAAUGCAGUAAGUGCCCCGCAUCAUGAGUACGGUCGCAUGGGUGAAACUCAAAGGAAUUGACGGGGGCCCGCACAAGCGGUGGAGCAUGUGGUUUAAUUGGACGCAACGCGCAGAACCUUACCUGGGUUUGACAUGGCAUUGACGAUGCCCUGCGAGGGGCAGUUCCUUCGGGACGGUGUCACAGGUGCUGCAUGGCUGUCGUCAGCUCGUGUCGUGAGAUGUUGGGUUAAGUCCCGCAACGAGCGCAACCCUUGCCCUUCGUUACCAGCAGGUGAGGUUGGGGACUGGAGGGGGACCGCCGGUGUCAAGCGGGAGGAAGGUGGGGAAGAUGUCAUGUCCUCAUCGCCCUGACGCCCAGGGCUACACACGUGCUACAAUGGAGUGGACAAGGGGGAGAGACCGUGAGAGGGGGAGCCAAUCCCUGAAACCGGUUGUGAGUGCGGAUUGGAGUUUGCAACUGGACUCCAGGAAGGGGGAAUCGUUGGUAAUCGGGGUUCAGCAUGCCGCGGUGAAUACGUUCCCGGGCCUUGUACACACCGCCCGUCACAUCAUGAAAGUUGAGUGUACCUGAAGUCGCCGGGCCAACCCUGUAGGG
rnacentral:rRNA from 1 species